rnacentral:rRNA from 1 species
GAGGAACAAUUGGAGGGCAAGUCUGGUGCCAGCAGCCGCGGUAAUUCCAGCUCCAAUAGCGUAUAUUAAAGUUGUUGCAGUUAAAAAGCUCGUAGUUGAAUUUCUGAUUAUGGAUGUAGCGGUUUCCGUUACAUUUGUAGUCAUCCACAUGAGAACCUUUCUCGGCCUUCACUGGUCGGUUGGGGAUCAUGUACUUUACUUUGAAAAAUCAGAGUGUUUCAGGCAGGCGUUUGCAUGAAUACACAAGCAUGGAAUAAUGGAAUAGGACUAGGGUCCAUUUUAUUGGUUAUUGGACCAUAGUAAUGAUUAAUAGGGGACAGUUGGGGGCAUUAGUAUUUAAUUGUCAGAGGUGAAAUUCUUGGAUUUAUUAAAGACUAACUUAUGCGAAAGCAUUUGCCAAGGAUGUUUUCAUUAAUCAAGAACGAAAGUUAGGGGAUCAAAGACGAUCAGAUACCGUCCUAGUCUUAACUAUAAACUAUACCGACUAGGGAUUGGUUGGGUCAUUAGAGCCCAAUCAGCACCUUAU